rnacentral:lncRNA from 1 species
UUGCUACGGCUGGAAUUCUUGCAGUUUGGUAGCAUAGAAGUAUCUUCCGCCAAUUGUUUUUGUUCGUCAUUUUAAAGGUAUUGCCUCCAUUGUUCUCUUUUAUGGUUUUUUUGUGCUAUUUUCCCGGCUGUUUUUAGCGUAUGAGGUUCCAAAAAGAAGAAAGAAAAGGGGGAGCUUCUUACUGUUUUUUUACUUCUUGUUGGAACAAGAAAAGAAUGACUUCUUGUUGGAACUUUUUGCUGGUUUGUUUUUCCUUUGGCUUUUUUUCCCUUUUUUUUACAUCCAACGUUUUAUCUGUGGUUUGUGGAAUGAGUUUUUUAUUGUGGUAUUUUGGGGCUCCUAGAAUAUAGAUUUUGUCUUUCUUGUUCGAUGUUUUUUCAGAAUGUAUUUUACCUUUUUCUUGAUUAUGUGGACUUUUAAGGCCAACUAAUUGUUUGUUGGUUUCCUUCUUUUUUUUUUUUUGGUAGUGGAAUGUUGUCUUUUAUGGGAUUUUUUUUAUCUUCAAAAAUGGUCUUGUUUUGUAUCUAUUUGUUUUCUUAUUUCUUUGUCACUGUAUGUUUUUUUUUUAAUUUAUUUUUUAUUCUCUGUCUUUUGUAGUUUUUUGCUUUUUUUUUUGGUGUUUCUGCUUUGCCCUUUCUUUUGUGGGUUUUUAAGGUUGGCUAAUUAUUUAGCUGCAAUUUUUGCUGUAUUUUUAGUAGUUUGUUUGUGAUUGAUAAUUUGCUUUUCUUUUUUCCCUUGGUAGACUAUUGUUAUCUAUUUUGCAUUGUUAUUGUACUUUUGUGAUUGGUAAAUUGUUUUCCCUUUUUUUCAUUUGUUUUUUUCAUUUUUUUAUGGUUUGCUUUGUUUGCUCCAUUUGCUUCUUGUAUGCUUGUGGUUGUUCUCCGUUUUUUGGAGUUUUAGCUUUUUGGUAGUGCCUUGUUUGGUGCUCUCUUGAAAUUUAAUGUUUUGGCUUUUAUACAGUGUUUAUUUGUGGUGGCUUUUAGUGUAUGUUACUGUCAUCUUUUUGCUAUGCUCUCUUUCUAAUUGUUUUUUAUCUGUAUUCCUGUUCGCUAGAUAUGUGGUCAGAGCAUGUUAAGGGGGUAUUACAUGUGCCGGAGGUUAAUUCUUACAUGGUUUGUUGGACAUGUUAAGUUCAGCUUAUCGAGGCAUCGCAUAUAAAGACAACCUGUGGGAGCGAUUUACUGAAAAAGUUUCGCUAUUUUGCUUUUUCUGAUUUUCAGGUAUAGAUUUCUGCCGGUUUGUUGUUUUGCUUUCCUUGAUGCUUUUACUGACUGUGCUUCUGUUUCUUUUAGGGUAUGAAGGCUACUGCACUUGCAAUUGGGGUAACAUCAAUUGUGUUAGCCAGUUACUUGUGCCGUUUAGAAAGUACCGUAUUUCCAAAGCUCGUGUUUGUAAGAUCCCUGAUUGCAUGGCUAUUGGAUCUUAUCCCUAUUAUUGGGUUUUGACUGACCAAACUAUGAUUGAUGAAGUAUUUGAAAUAGAGGCUCCAAAACUUCCAUGUUAUUUUGCGUUAGACUCUAUUUCUUUGUGUCACACUGUUGCUGAGAUAGAAAAGUUCAUAAGUAAUGCAUUGUAGAUUAAACUGUUUUUUUUGUGAUGGGUACGACUAUAUCUAUAUGUUGUGAUUUUCACCGGUCUUUUUUUGGACCUUGGCAGAUAUCAUGGGAAUUGUUCUCUGUGCCUUUCCUGUCAGGGAGGUUUAUUUUGAAGGGGGACCAUCUAUUGCACGGGACUAUGUAAUUGUUAAUUAUGAGUAGGUGUUGAUUUUAGUUUUGUUCUGUCUGUUAUUUCUACUGCUUGUCUUUGACUUGAUAACUUUUGUUUAUUUGACACUGUAAUUAAAGCAUGAAGCCUAUUAUUGACACUCUGGAAUGAGUUCGAGGCCCUAGAGGGGACUAUUAUUUUGGCUAAUAUUGCAGAGAAUUUGUUUGUAAUUUGUAUCAGGAUUAGAGUCAUUGCAAAUAGCUGUAGGUUUCUUUCGUUUUCACUUGGCUUUUUGUUUUUUGGUCCAUGCAGGUUUUGUUGUUUGAAUACAGUAGUAAUUGAUCUUUUUUACUAUAAUUUCUCGAUGUCUUUUCCAGAUUUGUCAUUGUCUACUCAAUUCUCAUCUGUUAUAUUGGUUUCACCGGAUGUACAGCAAGCAGGAAAUCUUCGGGUGUGGUUUUGUUGUUUUUAUGUUUUGAAGUUGUUUCCUUUUUUGUUGUGUCCUGUUGUGCUUUUAGGCUUUAUUAUGUUUUGUCUUUGACAGAUCAGUAUACUUUGUUUAGGUUCCAGGGGAAAAGUUCGCAAUUGAUUCGGAUGCUUCAUGAACGGAGUUAUGCUAACCCAUGUGUAUUGUUGCCUCUGGUUACUUUUAAUCAUAUAAGUCCAAUCUCAUCGAUUUCUCAAGCAACUAAAUUUGUGAGUGUGCCAUUGAUUUUUCUGGAGGUGCGGCUUUUUCUCCCUCUAAUCUUUUUUGUUUUGUUAGCUAAAUCAGCUAAUACCCAUUUUUUUUUAUUUUUAUGUAUGUUUCUGACUGUAGGAUAUGGGAACUGCUUGGAUAAAGGGUAGAGUGUCUCUUGAGUAUAUGAUGGGUAGACUAUGGUACUUGGCCUGCCCACAUUGUUAUCUUCCUAACGAUUUUGCUUUGAAUUGGGGGAUCAUGUGUGUGGGCGAGCGAUUUAUAUUUACCCAAGGUAUAAUGUUUUUAUGUUGGUUACUGUAAAUUUUUUUAUGUGUUGUUUCUAUAGUUGCCUGAUCUAGGGAAUUAUUGCCUUUGCUUUUUCUUUGUGCUGAGUUGUUUAUAAAUUUGUAAUGUAAGGGCUUGCGUGACUCUUAUGAUCACGGAUGAGACUGGAUCUUUGAAUGUAGUAGCCAUGGGAGACAAGGCUGAAAAGUUGAUUGGUAUUAGUGUUCACUGUUUAUUUCAAGCGCAGCAAGAGGUACUUCUUUUUUCUUGGCUUAGCUAUAAAAGUGAAAAAUUAUCUUGUGUGACCAAUUAUUUGUCAUGCCAAUGAGUUGUUGUAUUCAAUUGGUUGAUAGAAUGUGCAUCUUACUGAUCGUGUUGCAAGUGAACUCGAGGGAAAAGUUUUGUUGUGAGGGCUGUGAAGGGUGCUCUAUAUACAAUUGUCACUGUCUACGACGCAAAUGAAAUUGGAAGCAAUACUUGCUGAUGCCUUUUAGAUGUUUAUCUAAUUUGCCACUCUUUGUAUUUGGUUGUGUCAACUAUAGUUUAUGAGACAUUAGACUUUAUUUGCUGGUUGUAAUUAGGUUGAGUUAUGGUGAACUUGUAAUGUUGUUGGUUCAUGGAUUAUGUUUCUUUUUGAAUCUGUAUGUAUUUGGAUAUUAAUCCAAUGUUAACUGCUCCUAUCAUGGCUGUCAACAAAUGUAAUUACCACUCUUGUUGAAGUAAUGGACAUGUCCAUUAGAAAGGGUAUACCAAAUGUAAGAUUCUUUAGUGUUAUUUUUGUUUUGUUCUUAUUUUAUCAUGGCCUGAAACCAUGCUCACUAAACUAUAAUUUUCUUGUAUAUUUAUUGUGAAGAGAAAGUAAAAAAUCAGACUUAGUUGUCAUUACUAUGAUGUUUGAAGAUUUAUUUUCUCUUUGUUAAAUUGAAUACAUUUGCCUUCUUAAGCUUAGAAAUUAUGUCCAACGCCAUGUCCAAAGAUAAUAUUAUUU